CCAUACCCCCUCUCCCGCUGACGCCCGGACCGGCGUGUCAUCCCCGACCCCGAGCCGGUGUCCACCUCCAUGGCGGAGGCCGGCCCGAGCACCGCCUCCCCGUGUAGCCCCGCGCGCCUCUCGAUCCCUGCAUACCGCGCCUCGACCCGAUUUCGCAGCCCUAUUAACCCCUCGAAUCCGAGCUCCAAUUCCUUGCGGUGCCGCUGCCGCCACCGCCACAGCUCCGACCGAGCCCAGCCGACGCCAGAGACCACCACAGCCUUCUCCGAGGAGAGCAACGGAACCGCCUAGUCAAGCCGAGCCUCUCGAAUUCGAGCUCGAGCACUCGCCGGCACCGCUACAGCUCCGACAGAGCCCAGCCGACGCCAGAGAACACCACCGACGUCUCCCAGGAGAGAAACGGAACGGCCGACUCAAGGCAAAUCUCUUAGACGCCUUCCCGAGCAGCAAGUAUCACCGGAGCCAGCUCAGCGACAAGCCCCAAAGCCGCCGGCGCCGCCUGAACGCCUCUGAUCCAAUAGAUCAAAACGUUCUACAUAUAUGUUGUUGAGAAACUUGCACAGCAUCUUGGUAUGGAUGAUCCUUCAAAACUUUGCCUUACACGCACAUCCCGCAUUUACCGCAACCGAAACAUCAAUACAUCAAGUAUAGAAGUAUUGAUCAUCUCUCAGACAUGUUACAUUUACAUAAGCCCAAUCAGAUGUAUGACAUUUUAUAUUAUGAGACACUGGACAUUCCUUUGCCAGAACUGCAAGGUCUGAUAACAUUGAGAGUUGGGCCCCGUUCGGGAAUACUCCGCUCCAGGCUCCGCUCCGGGAGCGGACGGAGCUCUAGUACAAAAUCUGGGAGCCAGCAAACCGCCGCUCCGCAGAUUCUAGGAGCUGGUGAAUUCCUGAACGCGGCCUUGCUUUUCACCAAGCUACACACAAUGAGGUGCUGUUUCACGUUAUAUGAUUGCCAAAAGGCAGUACGUUUUCUGAUUUGAUUGACAACUUAAAAUCAAAGGUUGAGCUAUCUCAAAAUGAUGCUGAACUUAGCUAUUUCAGGUCAACAAUAACAAGAUAUGGAAGGUGUACCAGCCAACUGAGAAAAUAGAUGCAGUUCAUGAUCCAAACCUCUUCAUGUUGAGGAGCAGGUAGAAUGUGCAUUCGUGAAAGAUAACACUGUUUGACGAAUUCGUGGGGAACGCGGUGCGGGAGUUGCUCCGUCCCGAGGGAGGCACGACGGCAGGCGGGUUGAACGUUGGCCACAGCGUAGUGUGAGCCGGGAGAGUUGCCGUCAACCUGGUCUCAGGGCGGGCAGGAACUAAUAGUUGGAUGCCAGCAACAAACUGCGCCACCAUUACUCCCUCCAGCCAUCUGCGCCGGUGCCGCUUCUCCUCAAAUACAAGCAAAGAAGCGCGCGCCGGUUCAUCGGAGACAGAGAAGGGAUGUUCCGGUGCAGUACAUGAAGUGUCUGUUCCGCACGGUGCAGUUCCUGAACGGAAAGGAGACACUGAACGGAAGGACAUACACUGACAAUUGUUAUGUGAAGAAGAGACUGGUGAGGUUGUUGAUGUCUGUGUGGUUCCCCAUGAAACUGGUUAUGUUGGAUUUGCUAUGGCUGAAGCUUCUCGCAAGGCAAUGUGUGAUGCCAUUUGCAACCUUCUUGUUGAGCAACCUGAAACAGGAGUAACUCCAUUAAUCAUUAUGUAGGUAUGUUAAUAAUCAUUAUGUCACAUUGUAAUUCCAUCACAAGAAUCAUCUCUCCUAUUUCAUUCUCUGAAUUUCUGUACUGGUGAUGCUUACAUAUAUGUAUAUUUUGCUUCUGCUUGAUGUCUCUCGUGCCUGAUCCGGUCUUGAUGAUCUAUGUGGCCGGAGAAAAUACAUUGCCUAUGAAUUUGUCUAAAGAUGCAUUAUGAUACCCAGCUGUGUUGGUAUGGCUUAAAAAUAUGUCUGCAGAGUAUUAUUGAUGGUUAUUUUGCAUGUUGGAUCAUGUUAGUAAUGUACUUUGAAAUUAUUUUCCCUCCUCGUCUCAGUUUUGUUUUUCUUUUAGGAAAGACCCUACGCGGUUUUAUGGUAUAAAUAUGUGUAUAUGUUUUAGGCAAUAUUAUGGUAGCUGCAGGAGUGGGCGGUGCUCGGCUGCCGACAGGCGCUGAUGACGGUGGCCGAGUUGGACCCCGUCAGGGACAGGGCGCGCAUGUACGUCGAGGUGCUCCAGGGCAGCGCGUGAGGCAGUGAGAAGGUCGUGCUGUAUGAGGUGGGGCGCAAGGACCACAUGUAUUACUUCCUGAAAAUCGCGAGAUCCAACCCUGUCGUGGCGUUUUUCCACUCAACCGUUCAAAUUAUACUGUUUUUAUACUGAGUUUCAGGUUCGUUUGUACCCGACUACAACUUCAGAGAAGUGAUCAUGUAUUUCUUGUCUUAUCAGAUUAUAUUGUGCAGAUGUAUGUCUUGUUUUUUUUUUUUUUGCGGGGCAGAUGUAUGUCUUGUUGAUUAGUAGUAGUAUCAUUCAGAAGCUUUCUAAAGAUGAAUAGAUCGGAAGUUUUCUCCAAAAAAUGGGUUGGCCUUGCUGACUUGCCCCACUUGCCACCACUGUACCACUGUAGUAUCUGAGAUGUUUUGCUGUUCAGCCAAUAAUUACCACCUAUGUAAAGUUUACAGAGGGAGUAAUUAAUUAGAUCUAUUCUAUUAGCCAAUAUUUCUAUUCUUUUGUGUCAUUCUCAGAUUUAUUAGUAUUUUCUAUUCCCAUCUCUUUAUUUGAUGUCAUGAACUCUGAAAAAAAUGCUUUAUGUUUCGUUUGCAUUUCCUUCCGGUUUGUGGUGGUCAAUGCAUGUAGAACGUGCAGAUUUACCAGGAAUUUUAUUUUUAGUUCUUUUUA